GACAGACUUAAAAUAUUAAUUUCUACAUUAAAAUUUUAUCUUAAUUCAACAUCGAGGUCGCAAUCUUUUUUAUCAAUAUGAACUCUUUAAAAAAAUUACGCUGUUAUCCCUAAGGUAAUUAAAUUUAUUUUCAUUAAUAAUGGAUAGUAAUUUCAUUAAAUUUGUUAUUUUAUUUAAAAAUUUUUUUAAAUUUUCAUAUAACCCCAAUCAAAUAAUUAAUCUUAAAUAAAACUAUUAUAAAUUAUUUAAAUUAACUAUAAAAUUCUAUAGGGUCUUCUCGUCUUUUAAUAAAAUGUAAGAAUUUUUACUUACAAUAAAAUUUAACAAAUUAAAUUGAGACAGAAUUUAUUUCAUUCAAUCUUUCAUUCCAGACUUAAUUAAUAAGACAAAUGAUUAUGCUACCUUUGUACAGUUAAAUUACUGCAGCUAUUUAAUUUUCAUUGAGCAGAUUAGAUUUUAAAUUAUAUUCAAAAAACCAUGUUUUUGAUAAAC
rnacentral:rRNA from 1 species